UACAGAGGUCUCAAGCGUUGUUCGGAUUCAUUGGGCGUAAAGGGUGCGUAGGUGGCGCCAUAAGUCGGGUGUGAAAUCUCGGGGCUUAACUCCGAAACUGCAUUCGAUACUGUGGUGCUUGAGGACUGGAGAGGAGACUGGAAUUCAUGGUGUAGCAGUGAAAUGCGUAGAGAUCAUGAGGAAGACCAGUGGCGAAGGCGGGUCUCUGGACAGUUCCUGACACUGAGGUACGAAGGCCAGGGGAGCAAACGGG
rnacentral:rRNA from 1 species